rnacentral:lncRNA from 1 species
AAGAUCUGAGAGAAUUAGUACGAUAAAUAGGAUAAAAAGUGUGACUUUUGAUUUGAUAUAUGUGAAGAGAAAAUUUUAAUGUUUUAAUUGAUUAUAUCACACUUGAGAGACAUAAUAGUUAAACACUUCAAUAUGAAUAAUUAAUAAUUAUUAUUAAUUUCUAAACAGAUUUAAUAAUUUAUUUUCUAUUACUAUAUAGUUUAAUAUUUUAUAUAGAAAAACUUAGAGAAAAUUAUGAAUAAUUAAAAUAAGAGGAGGAUAAAAACAUGUUAAAAAUAAUAUGUCUACAUCAAAAAUGAAAAGGAAGAAUAAGAG